rnacentral:rRNA from 1 species
UGCANGUCGAGCGGANGACGGGAGCUUGCUCCUUGAUUCNGCGGCGGACGGGUGAGUAAUGCCUAGGAAUCUGCCUGGUAGUGGGGGGCAACGUUUCGAAAGGAACGCUAAUACCGCAUACGUCCUACGGGAGAAAGCAGGGGACCUUCGGGCCUUGCGCUAUCAGAUGAGCCUAGGUCGGAUUAGCUAGUUGGUGGGGUAAUGGCUCACCAAGGCGACGAUCCGUAACUGGUCUGAGAGGAUGAUCAGUCACACUGGAACUGAGACACGGUCCAGACUCCUACGGGAGGCAGCAGUGGGGAAUAUUGGACAAUGGGCGAAAGCCUGAUCCAGCCAUGCCGCGUGUGUGAAGAAGGUCUUCGGAUUGUAAAGCACUUUAAGUUGGGAGGAAGGGCAGUAAGUUAAUACCUUGCUGUUUUGACGUUACCGACAGAAUAAGCACCGGCUAACUCUGUGCCAGCAGCCGCGGUAAUACAGAGGGUGCAAGCGUUAAUCGGAAUUACUGGGCGUAAAGCGCGCGUAGGUGGUUUGCUAAGUUGGAUGUGAAAGCCCCGGGCUCAACCUGGGAACUGCAUCCAAAACUGGCAAGCUAGAGUACGGUAGAGGGUGGUGGAAUUUCCUGUGUAGCGGUGAAAUGCGUAGAUAUAGGAAGGAACACCAGUGGCGAANGCGACCACCUGGACUGAUACUGACACUGAGGUGCGAAAGCGUGGGGAGCAAACAGGACUAGAUACCCUGGUAGUCCACGCCGUAAACGAUGUCAACUAGCCGUUGGAAUCCUUGAGAUUUUAGUGGCGCAGCUAACGCAUUAAGUUGACCGCCUGGGGAGUACGGCCGCA